rnacentral:ncRNA from 2 species
GUCAGGAGAGAGUUUUCCCCGGGAAAACCGCCGAAGGCGCACGUACACCCCCUUUUGGUGCACUGAACGCUCAGGCAAAAGGACUGGC